rnacentral:rRNA from 1 species
GACGAACGCUGGCGGCGUGCUUAACACAUGCAAGUCGAACGGAGUGGCGAACGGGUGAGUAUUACGUGAGUAACCUGCCCUCAACUGUGGGAUAAGCCUGGGCAACUGGGUCUAAUACUGCAUAGUUGGGGCUGGGCUCGCGGCCUAUCAGCUUGUUGGUGGGGUGAUGGCCUACCACGGCGGUGACGGGUAGCCGGCCUACGAGGGUGGUCGGCCCGAUUGGGACGGAGAUACGGCCCAGGCUCCUACGGGAGGGAGAAGUGGGGGAGAUGGCACAAGGGGGGCAAGCCUGAGGCAGCGACGCCGCGUGAGGGAUGAAGGCUUUCGGGUUGUAAACCUCUUUCGGUACAGAACGGGUAUGUGCAGAAGAAGCGCCGGCUAACUACGUGCCAGCAGCCGCGGUAAUAC